rfam:Rattus norvegicus chromosome 15, whole genome shotgun sequence.
GGGGAUUUGGCUCAGUGGUAGAGCGCUUGCCGAGGAAGCACAAGGUCCUGGGUUCGAUCCCCAGCCCCG